CAUGCAUCUAAAUUUUUGGAGAUGCCAAAAAAGAUAUAUGUUUUAUGUAGUUGUUUCUAUGGCCUAAUUUUGCAAAAACACGUUUGAAAUGAUUUUCUUCUGCUGUAUUUUGGUGCUUCCAGUCUCAUUGUAGCUGCACACCCAGCUGGGCUCCCAACAUCUGAGAUGGAAAAACAUCCUGCCAGUUGUCUGCCUCUUGUCUUGGCAUGUUUAUCAUAGCUCAUAACCAGUUUACAACUAUGAUGUCUCCAUGGUUGCCAAGUGUCAGUGGUAGCCUGCAUUUCUGUGUGUAAUGAUGCAUGCAAACAGGUGCUUCGAAUGUGAAAGAUUAAGAAAUCCUGUUACCAUGUGAGAAGUCUCCUCCUGUUUGCUUAGCUUCAAAACAACAUCUGGAGAAUAUUACAGUACAGUACACAGCACUCAGUUACAGAGUUUAAUACUUACUGGGAAAAUAAAACCUAUUGCAGAGUUUGUUCAUUCACAACUCCAGCCAUUGGCUUUUGUGUGUUAAUCAAAUACAGUUCUUUACACACAACACAGAACAAAAGUCUGUCAGUUAGAAAUGUGCUUAGCCUUGAAAGGCACACACACAGAGAAACACACACAUUUGAUUCAUCACCCUAUGUGCCUGCUUCAUGAUAUGCUAAACAUUCUGUAAACAUUAUCCAGUGCAUGGUUACUGUCACCAUGGCAGCAUGACAACAGUGCACGGUCCAGCCCCUCAAACACGGGACAGUAGUGUUACUUAAUAUUUGGCUUCACAUGAGCACAGCAUGUUUCUAUCACAUAAUCCUGUCACAGCAGAGAAGUCUUCUCCACGCAGCCCUACUGACUCUGAACGUGGCCCAGCUGUUGCUAUGUUUUGGUCUUAUCACACAACAACAACGGUUAACAUACUUGCUGAGAACAGUUUGCCCUCAGUGCAAUCCAACACACUCUGUCCACUGUCAGCAUCUCAGGGGACUGGAGCAGAUGCUUUUGUUGAACAUAAAGAGUUCUUAGAUCAUAUUAAGGCAAAAUAUCAAGUCGAGUAACUCAGGACAAAAACAGAUCUGUUUAUGUGACCGUGUGUGUCCUCACUUUGAUGCCAAAAUAAGAUUCAGCUGUUAAAGUAGUGAGAUUGAGAGCUAUUUUAAUCACUGUUUAUUCAUGAAGCAACAGUAUGUUGAAACCUAUUUUAAUUUAGUUUUCCUCGCAAAAGUGUCUUAUCCAUCUGAGGCCAAAGUUUAAUCUCUUUGACAUUCAAUGGAAGACCCGCUGGAAAACCGAUACUGCAAAUACCUGCUACCAAGUCUACUUUAGUGAAAAAGCACCUUAAUGUCUCAUGAAUAUUAUAACACCGUAUUGUAUUGUAUAUUGCAUGUACAAGAUGAGAUUAUGGUACAAAAACACAUAAAAAUACAAACUUUUCUUCAUCUUCUACCAACAGAAACACAUUCAAUUUGAAUGCAGCUGCAGUGGGUUGACCGUAAAUGCAUGUAAAGACAUUUACAUCUCUUAAUUUAGAUCUGGGUUGUUUGAAUGAUUUCAAGGGCAUUCUGAUAUUCACUGUCAACUUCCUCAGCCUGCAGCCUACAUUUCUCUAUAAAUAGUUCAGAUUGGCUGAAACCUGGUUCAAGAACUAAGAAUGAUGACUGUAGAUAUUGACACACUCAUAUACUUUUGUUAGUGUUGUUAUUAUAUAAAAUGCUGUUAUUCAUUUUUGUCAAGUUUGUUUCUCACAUAUCAGUAAUUAAUCGUUGAAGUGACUAAAAAGACAUUGGAGAAACAUUUGGUUUGUGUUCAUUUGACACCUAUUGUGUACAAAGCAGUUGGUCUUUUUUUGUAUUCGUUGAUUUUGUCCUGUCCUUGUGACUUCAAGAUGUACUGAACCGUAGUUAAAAAAAUCUUUGUCAUUAAAUUAUUUUUUGUUUCUUGCAGGGUUCUGUUAAUUGUCUGGUAUCACACCUACCCUGCAGCAGCAGCAACAGCUCUAGGUAGUGUUUACAAUGUAGACUCUAUCACUCUUGUCAC
rnacentral:lncRNA from 1 species